rnacentral:piRNA from 1 species
UUAAUGAACUAUUUUGGGAGACCUAUGUGA